CUCCGGUGGGGCGGCGGCAGCAGGAGGCCCCAUUAGCUAAAGUGGUGCUUCAGGUUAAGAACAGUUUCAGGUUAAGAAUGGACCUCCGGAACGAAUUAAGUACUUAACCCGAGAUACCACCGUAUGCAUGUGGAUCUAUCCCAUAUGGGGAUAAUCCCAGUGUCCUCUUGGCUGAAAGCCAACAGGGCAUUUCUAACCAGAAAGCUGCUCCAACAACGGAGGAAGUCAAAGAGAGAGUGUGCUGCGUGCCUUGUCCUUUUGGUUACCUGAACAGGUAAGGUCACGCCCACCUCUAGUCACAGGCAAAGGAAGGAUGUUCCAGCCAGGAGGAAACAGGAACAGUUUUCGACUGCCUGGACCAAACAUUCCCCUGCAUACCCACUCUAGGAAAACAAGGAAUGUUGUACUUGUAUCACAUCCCACACUUUGUAUGUUCUUCCUCCCAAGCUGUAACGCAUAAUAAUGAACAUGCCUGGCGUGGCCUUAUUCUUGUUGGUGUUAACUUCCCCCUCCCUCCCUCUGCAUUUACCUGGGAAAAGAGGAGAGACGAUAGGCACCUUCAAAUAUCUAAAGCAGGGGUCAGCAAGGUUUACCUUGCCUGGGCUGGUUCGUGCUGCAGAAGCGAAUCCCCACACCGUGUUGUUCCGGUUUAGCGCAGCGCGUGGGAACUCGCUGAGCGGGCGGCUUGGUUCAGUGGUGGCUCAUGGGCUGGUUAAAUGACCCCCGUGGGCUGUUUGUGGCCCAUGGGCCUUAGGUUGCCUACCCCUGAUCUAAAGGGUUGUCACCUGGAAGAGGGAACAAACUUGUUUUCUCCUGCUCUGGAGGGUAGGACCCGAACCAAUUGCUUCAAGAUACACAAAAGGAGAUUCCGACCAAACAUACGGGAUAACUUUCUAACAGUAGGAGCUGUUUGACAGUGGAACAGUCUCCCUUCGGCGGUUGUGGACUCUCCUUCCUUGGAGGUUUUUAAGCAGAGGUUGGGCAGCCAUCUGCCCUGGAUGCUUUAUUUGAGAUUCCUGCAUUGAAGGGAGUUGGAAUAGAUGACGCCUGGUUCCUGUCCAGCUCUACGACUCUAUGGUUUCAGUCUUUCACCAGGCUGCUGUGUGGAAUGGAGAAAGACAUGAUGUGCUCAUGUCAUAUCACUUGCUUCCAUUAUUGGUGUAGGGCCAGUGUGGUGUAGUGGUUAAGAGCGGUAGACUCAUAAUCUGGUGAACCGGGUUCGCUUCCCCGCUCCUCCACAUGCAGCUGCUGGGUGACCUUGGGCCAGUCACACUUCUCUGAAGUCUCUCAGCCCCAUUCACCUCACAGAAUGUUUGUUGUGGGGGAGGAAGGGAAAGGAGAAUGUUAGCGGCUUUGAGACUCCUUAGGGUAGUGAUAAAGCGGGAUAUCAAAUCCAAACUCCUCCUCCUCUUCUACUUCUCUUCCCCCAAAACCAUUAUGUGGGUCACUCUACUCUGGGAUGAUUCACAAAAACCAGGCGGGAUGCUUCAGUACAGCUUAACAGGUAUGAGUUAAUAGACCAUGCGUGCUCCCAAGGCAUUCUUCAAUAGUUUUAUUCCAAACGUCUAAUUUUAUAACUCCUUUGUUUGACUGAGAGCGUGGCUCCCUUUCCUUCCCAUUUCUUUCUCUUUUUUCUUUUUGCAUUUAUGGGGAAUAUCAAAGGCUGUCGACUGCUACUUCUUGCUCUCCCUUGAGGUUCUUAAUGAGCAAAAGCAAAAGUGCUGACUCUCUCUCUCUCUCUCUGGCACUGUAAUGUUGGAGGUGUGAUAGAACGAGACGAGACCUUCAGAGAUCCGGCAUUCAUUUAAAAAGGGUAGCAGGGAGAAGAAAGGGAAAUAGAUGUGUGUGCUAAACGAGAGAGCUCCUAACGAUUGGGAAGAGUGGUUGCUAAACUCUCCAUCCUUGGAGGUGUUUUUUUUAAAAUUAUUUUUUAUUUGAUUUUCCAAAACAGACAAAAGAAAAGAAAGAAAAAGAAAGAGAAUAAACUUCCAUCAAAAGAUCAUACAAAUUCCACCUAUCGAGAUUAAUCUAAAUGUCCUGACUCCCCGCCCAUCCCAUCAAUGGGUCCGCCUAAUUCUAUUUUCAACUGCA